rnacentral:rRNA from 2 species
GCUAUCAGUAUUCGACUAAGCCAUGCGAGUCAAAUGUUCUUCGUGAACAUGGCGUACUGCUCAGUAACACGUGGAUAAUCUGCCCUAAGGUCAGGCAUAACUCCGGGAAACUGGUGAUAAUACCUGAUAUAUCAUAGAUACUGGAAUGUUCUGUGAUCAAAAGCUCCGGUGCCUUAGGAUGAAUCUGCGGCCUAUCAGGUUGUAGUGGGUGUAAUGUACCUACUAGCCGACGACGGGUACGGGUUGUGAGAGCAAGAGCCCGGAGAUGGAUUCUGAGACAUGAAUCCAGGCCCUACGGGGCGCAGCAGGCGCGAAAUCUUUACAAUGCGGGAAACCGCGAUAAGGGGAUACUGAGUGCCAGCAUAUUAUGUUGGCUGUCCACCUGUAUAAAUAGCAGGUGUUAGCAAGGGCCGGGCAAGACCGGUGCCAGCCGCCGCGGUAACACCGGCGGCCCGAGUGGUGGCCACUAUUAUUGGGUCUAAAGGGUCCGUAGCCGGNNNNNNNNNNCCNNNGGGAAAUCUGACAGCUCAACUGUUAGGCUUCCGGGGGAUACUGUCGGACUUGGGACCGGGAGAGGUAAGAGGUACUACAGGGGUAGGAGUGAAAUCUUGUAAUCCUUGUGGGACCACCAGUGGCGAAGGCGUCUUACCAGAACGGGUCCGACGGUGAGGGACGAAAGCUGGGGGCACGAACCGGAUUAGAUACCCGGGUAGUCCCAGCUGUAAACGAUGCUCGCUAGGUGUCUGGGACGGUGCGACCGUUUCAGGUGCCGCAGGGAAGCCGUGAAGCGAGCCACCUGGGAAGUACGGCCGCAAGGCUGAAACUUAAAGGAAUUGGCGGGGGAGCACUACAACGGGUGGAGCCUGCGGUUUAAUUGGACUCAACGCCGGAAAACUCACCUGGGGCGACAGCAAUAUGUAGGUCAGGCUGAAGGUCUUACCUGAAUCGNGAGAGGAGGUGCAUGGCCGUCGUCAGUUCGUACUGUGAAGCAUCCUGUUAAGUCAGGCAACGAGCGAGACCC